rnacentral:rRNA from 1 species
UACGGGGGGGGCAAGCGUUGUUCGGAAUUACUGGGCGUAAAGGGCUUGUAGGUGGCCAACUAAGUCAGACGUGAAAUCCCUCGGCUUAACCGGGGAACUGCGUCUGAUACUGGAUGGCUUGAGUUCGGGAGAGGGAUGCGGAAUUCCAGGUGUAGCGGUGAAAUGCGUAGAUAUCUGGAGGAACACCGGUGGCGAAGGCGGGUCUCUGGGCCGAUGACUG